rfam:Parascardovia denticolens DSM 10105 chromosome, whole genome shotgun sequence.
UCCAUGUUUCAGGGCAGGGUGCGAUUCCCUACUGGCGGUAGAGCCCGCGACCCGCGAAAGCGGCUGACCCGGUGGAAUCCCAGGGCCAACGGUAUAGUCCGGAUGAAAGAAACGAGUA